AGGGUGACUAUGAUGGGGCGGAACCAAAAGUGGCGGAGAAAGGUUCCGCCCGAAGAUGGUUUCCGCCCGGACUCGAUUUUUAACGACACUAUUUUACUUCCUGGUCUCCCUAGCAACACAGAUGAUGGGCAAAUGAGCAACAGGUGCGACAGAUUAGCUGGGAACUCAUGAUUGGAGGAGGGAACAGAGACAAGACAUAAAAAGGCCCAAAGAAGCCCAAAUGAGAGGGUUGUUGUAGGCACGAGUUCCUUUUUGCCUAGGGCAGACUCGAUCACACGCUCCGUCCUUGGAGGAGCCGGAGGGCGCCGCUGAUCCACAAAGCGCUUAUAGCGGAAGGAAAGAGUGCGGCAGCCAAGAGAGGCGAAAAGGACGGAGCGUGAGAAUUAAAGGAACACUGCACUGGAGUGCCUCUCUGUGGUGCCGGUGUUGGUGUACUGUUGGCUGUGUCAUAGGCUGGAGAGCGACGAUCUAAUUCCCUUGGGGAAGAAAGAAACAGGAAGAGGUGGAUGUUUACCGUGAGGAGGAAUUUAUGUGAGGAUAACUGGGUGAAGAAAGCAACAUGAGACGGGUUGACAUGUGAGUACAGCUGGGAUACUGUAUAUACGUUGCAGAGGUGAAAUUAUUGUGCAUGUUUGGAGUGUCUAUUUAUAGUUCCGGCCCCACCGGAGGAAUAAGCGUGGGUGAGCUGAUGGACGUCUAGUGUAUACGAAGAACAAAUCCAGAAGUAAUCGCUUUCCACCUUUCCUGUGUGUUGGAAAUUUCGGCCGACGAGCCACAGGAGGAAUCUGAGAUUAGCUGCCUAUGUCCUUACCUCACAACGAGUGUGUGCGUGUGAUGCUGUGGGUGAGUCCCGAUUUUCAAUUUAUGUGUUUUCACUGAAGCUUGCAGUGUAGUGCUGUGCUUUCUUUUGGAGAUAGAGACUGUUUCAUCCCCGAGGCUCCGUGUGAAAAUAACUGUGUCGAACUGACCAGCGCAGUGGAUAGGAAUUACUUGCCUGUAACAAUAGUGUGAUUUGUGGAGAAACCAGAAAGCCCAGUCUGUGAGUCACGCACUUCUAUGAAUGCUAACUUACCUCUGCUCCUAGCAAUCCUGUGCAGAACGAUCCAGAGCCCUAAGUUGUGAGUAACGUGUGUUAUCAAGCGACCACUUACCUCUGUCCUCAGCGAACCUGUGGAGAAACCAGAAAGCCCAGUCUGUGAGUCACGCACUUCUAUGAAUGCUAACUUACCUCUGCUCUUAGCAACCCUGUGCAGAAUGGUCCAAAGCCCCAAGUUGUGAGUAACGUGUGUUAUUAAAUGACCACUUACCUCUGUCCUCAGCGAACCUGUGGAGAAACCAGAAAGCCCAGUCUUGAACCUGUGGAGAAACCAGAAAGCCCAGUCUCGAACCUGUGGAGAAACCAGAAAGCCCAGUCUUGAAUCCGUGAGGAGGAGCAAAGGGUCCCAGAGUCCGGAGAACCCCCCCCCCUCACGCCCUGUGGAACUCCGUCUGAAACCAGAGGGAGAAAGAAGUGUUUUAAACUGCCCUUCCCCUUUCCCCUUUUUGCUUUUAAAUAUUUAAUAAAGUUGUAUUUUAAAUUUGA